CAGUGCUCUUCGCUUUCUUAUUGCAGACCUGCAUGGUUACAACAAAAUGAUCUGCAAAACUGAAAAUAUUUACUCUCUGGCUUUUACAGAAAAGGCUGACCAGCCUCUGGUUCCCGUACCGGUCAAAUGAUAGGAGUACCUUUCCAGUUUGGAAACAUCUGGGCAGGCCCAGCUGGUAAGUUUACUUUUCUACUUUGACCAAGCAAACUGAAGCCAACAGAAGAGAACAUUCACCAGCAACUCCCAGCACAUCCGCUCGCCUUCUGAUGUCUGUGACCUCACUCUCGCUGCCCCACCUCUUAUUACAGAUUGAACAGGAUCCAGGGGGAAGUACCAAGCCUGUCCCAUCGGCCAUCCUGUGUGUCAUGUCCUGUGACCCAGUGGAUGCUCAGCAACCUCCAGCUGAAGAAACAGAUUGCCUUAGGUACAUGAAAGGUGAGGACACCUACUAUCCCCAUGGAGCGCAGGUGGGGCUGAGAGUCUGCUGUUUGUACAGCCGGUGGGCUCGUGUUGCUUUGGGCAUCCCUGUGCCUGAAUUCCUGCAGUACACUCGGUGCCUGUUUCCUAAUCUGCAAAACUGGAAUGAUGUUAACCAUCCCGCAGGUUUGUUGAUGGGCUGGGACACACUAGACUGCCAGGAGCUGGAAUUCCUCUGUGCCCUGAUUGUAAUCCUUCCUUCACACUAUUUACUCUCACAAGUUCAGUCUCUCUGUCUCUCUCAUUCACUUGUAACUUUCUCUACUGCUCUGGUUUCAUUUGAUUCCCACCCUCCUCCCAAUCCCCAGAUGAGUGAAAUUAAUUUCUGUGUGUCAGUUCCAAAUUCCCGGGAAAGAUGCUCUGUCCCCUCUGGAUUGGUUGUCCAACCCAUCAGUUGCAGUCAGAGGAGUGAGUCCCUCUGUGACCAGAGGAGGGGCUCUGCCCAGCCCCCCAGCCACCACUGUGGGAGCACAUAGCUCUCCGAGGAGGAGGUACUGGCUGUGACUUGGUGUCACUAAGUGUGAAUUUAUCUCUCCUCUUGCCCCACAUUCAUCCUCCUAAACAAAGAUGAAAAUUAAACACUCCCGAGAUUUGUGUCAUGGAACACUCAGGGUGGGGGCUAAGAGGGCUGGAUUCCCUGCUGAGUGUAAGGGGCUACAGUGACUCCCCAACGAGAGCCUGUAAAGGAAACAGCACCGGCCCCACUGGACAUUAGGGUGCUGAGUCUGCGUGACAUUGAGCCAGGCUUCUGACCACAGCUCAGGGGUCUGGUCCGACCGGUUAGUCUUUGAAACCAACCAGCUU